GACGAACGCUGGCGGCGUGCUUAACACAUGCAAGUCGAACGAAGUGGCGAACGGGUGAGUAACGCGUAAUCAACCUGCUCUUCAGCGCGGGACAACAGUUGGAAACGACUGCUCAUACCGCAUACUGAAGGAGGGGAUUGCGUCUGAUUCGCUAGUUGGAGGGGUAACGGCCCACCAAGGCGAUGAUCAGUAGCCGGUCUGAGAGGAUGAACGGCCAAAUUGGGACUGGGACACGGCCCAGACUCCUACGGGAGGCAGCAGUGGGGAAUCUUCCGCAAUGGGCGAAAGUCUGACGGAGCAACGCCGCGUGAGUGAUGAAGGCCUUCGGGUUGUAAAGCUCUGUUAAUCGGGACGCGGUACCGGAAUAGAAAGCAACGGCUAACUACGUGCCAGCCGCCGCGGUAAUAC
rnacentral:rRNA from 1 species